rnacentral:rRNA from 1 species
UACAGAGGGUGCGAGCGUUAAUCGGAAUUACUGGGCGUAAAGCGUGCGCAGGCGGUUUUGUAAGUCUGUCGUGAAAGCCCCGGGCUCAACCUGGGAAUUGCGAUGGAGACUGCAAGGCUUGAAUCUGGCAGAGGGGGGUAGAAUUCCACGUGUAGCAGUGAAAUGCGUAGAGAUGUGGAGGAACACCGAUGGACGAAGGCAGCCCCUGGGUCAAGAUUGACGCUCAUGCACGAAAGCGUGGGGAGCAAACAGG